rnacentral:rRNA from 1 species
UGCUACGGCCAUGCCACCCUGAACACCCCUCUAAUCGUCAUAUUAUCUCGGAAGCUAAGGAGGAUCAGGCUGAUUAGUACUUGGAUGGGAGACCACCUAGGAAGAACAGGCACUGUAGACG